rnacentral:rRNA from 1 species
CCGAAUGGGGGAACCCACUUGACAGUCAUUUAUUGUUACCUUUGGUAAUCAAUAAGUGGCUGAACCAAGUACUUCUUACCUGAAUAAAAUAGGGUUUGAAGAGCAAACCCGGGGAACUGAAACAUCUAAGUACCCGGAGGAAAGGACAUCAAUAGAGACUCCGUUAGUAGCGGCGAGCGAACGCGGACCAGCCGAGCCAUGAUUGUGAUCAGAACACAUUGGAAAAUGUGGCCAUAGUGGGUGACAGCCCCGUACGAGAAGCAAGAUUGGACGUAUUAAGUAGGGCGGGACACGUGAAAUCCUGUUUGAAGAUCGGAGGACCACCUCCGAAGGCUAAGUACUCCUUA